GUUCUUCCCUCAUGAAUAGAUCAAUGCUAUUAUCGUGGAAGUGGGCUUGUUAUUGCAGGAGUAGGUUCCUUACAAAAGGAUGAGUUCAGCCUCCUUUUGCCUCUUUCUCUCCCUCAUUCUCUUUUUGCCCUUCUUUCAUGGGAUGAUGCAGCAAGAAGGCCCUUGCCAGAUGCCAGCAACUUGAUAUUGAACUUCUCAUCCUCCAGAAUGGUGAUGGCCACAGUGGCAGAACCUAGGAAGCCAAGAAGAAACCAGAGAAUGGAGACACAUGGCAGCAAUGGCAAGUCAUCAGACCCAGGAUUUCCCAAAGAACACUGGUCCAGGAAGAUGCUCUGUGAAAAAGUGUUCCCUGGUCGGAGAAAUUUGUGAAACACUUUGCAUAAUACUUAAAAGAAUGUAUGGCACAUCAAAGGUAAUAUGCAAUAAAAGAAUUCAUUUUUUUAAAACCAA
rnacentral:lncRNA from 10 species